GGAAWAUCAAGACUUAGGGGUACUUUCUUGCGAUGUGACUGAAAGCCUUGCGAAACUCAGUUUAGGAGAGAGCAACAGUGAAGAAUUUGACAACGAGGUGAUGUUUAAGUCCAUCUACCUAGAUCAAUCAUCACAACAAGUAGAUACUACUCCAAAUCGCGAUAAGAGCUUUGCUCUAGAGUCAACGYUAGAUGAAUUGGAAAGUACAUCACUAGAAAAACUGAAUUCGUAUCUUGCAUCACCUGACAUUAGCCCUGUCAGACAUAAACUUACAGUUCCAUGGGAAGAGGCAUCCGAACGUACAAAACGUCACUACAUCCGGAAAGGACGAGAGGUAGCAAGGACUUGUCUUGAAGAAAUAGCCCCCGAAKAGUCCUCCUCUCUACUUGCGUGCUUAGCCAACAAUGAGGACGAGCACACCCGCUCACUUGAUUCAAGUUUAAUAGAGGCUCUUUGUGAAUGUUAUUACAAUAGUAAUCACUGGAGCACAAGAAGACAAAUUUUAUCAAUCAUCGCUGACAAACUGCCGUUUACCGAGUUGAARAAAUGGAUCCCUGAACUUACCGAGAUACGAGCUACUUUAAUAUAGCGCGACACCACACCCUAUUACAUGGCAGGGGAACUGUUUUACCAGCAGUCAGAAGUACUAGAAUGUAUAUCGACCAACAGAAACUAGAUCACUUUAUCACAUUCAUUACAAGCAGCCACAUUGUGCAAGAUAUACCCUUUGGGGAAAAGGUCCUUAAAUUGUCUUCCAGUCAACAAAUCAAGGUCCCUAGCGUUGUGCGUACUCUUAUUCCAGAGCAAAUAGUUCGUCAGUACUUGGGAUAUUGUAAAGAUACUUUCUUUCAGCCUGCAAGCAGAAGUACUCUUUGUAGAAUUMUCUCCGUUUGUUCYGCUUCUGUAAKAAAGUGUUUGCWAGGMCUUGAUUACUUCUCGGCUACUKGAUCAAAAUCAUUUGAUGAUCUUCAAGAAAUAACCGAGAAGAUUGGUGAUGACUUCGGGAAAGGUCACGGAUGGGCAAAGGAAAUCAACGAGAAAUUGAAAAAGGCAAAACGGUACUUUAA